rnacentral:rRNA from 1 species
UACCCGCAGCUCAAGUGGUGGCCACUAUUAUUGAGCCUAAAGCGUCCGUAGCCGGUCUUGUAAAUCUCUGGGUAAAUCCUGCCGCUUAACGGUGGGAAUGCUGGAGAGACUGCAAGACUUGAGAUCGGGUGAGGUUAAACGUACUUUCAGGGUAGGGGUAAAAUCCUGUAAUCCCGGAAGGACGACCAGUGGCGAAAGCGUUUAACUAGAACGAAUCUGACGGUAAGGAACGAAGGCUAGGGGAGCAAACCGGAUUAGAUACCCGGGUAGUCCUAGCUGUAAACACUGCCCAUUUGAUGUUGCUUUUCCGUUGAGGGAAGGCAGUGUCGGAGCGAAGGUGUUAAAUGGGCCGCUUGGGAAGUAUGGUCGCAAGACUGAAACUUAAAGGAAUUGGCGGGGGAGCACCGCAACGGGAGGAAUGUGCGGUUUAAUUGGAUUCAACGCCGGAAAACUCACCGGGAACGACCUGUGCAUGAGAGUCAACCUGACGAGUUUACUCGAUAGCAGGAGAGGUGGUGCAUGGCCGUCGUCAGCUCGUACCGUAGGGCGUUCACUUAAGUGUGAUAACGAGCGAGACCCACAUCUUUAAUUGCAAAUGUAUAUGAGAAUAUGCAUGCACUUUAGAGAAACCGCCAGCGCUAAGCUGGAGGAAGGAGUGGUCGACGGCAGGUCAGUACGCCCCGAAUUUCCCGGGCUACACGCGCAUUACAAAGAACGGGACAAUACGUUGCAACCUCGAAAGGGGAAGCUAAUCGCGAAACCCGUCCAUAGUUAGGAUUGAGGGCUGUAACUCGCCCUCAUGAAUCUGGAUUCCGUAGUAAUCGCGGGUCAACAACCCGCGGUGAACAUGCCCCUGCUCCU